rnacentral:rRNA from 1 species
GACGAACGCUGGCGGCGUGCUUAAUACAUGCAAGUCGAACGGAAAGGCCCUGCUUUUGUGGGGUGCUCGAGUGGCGAACGGGUGAGUAACACGUGAGUAACCUGCCCUUGACUUUGGGAUAACUUCAGGAAACUGGGGCUAAUACCGGAUAGGAGCUCCUGCUGCAUGGUGGGGGUUGGAAAGUUUCGGCGGUUGGGGAUGGACUCGCGGCUUAUCAGCUUGUUGGUGGGGUAGUGGCUUACCAAGGCUUUGACGGGUAGCCGGCCUGAGAGGGUGACCGGCCACAUUGGGACUGAGAUACGGCCCAGACUCCUACGGGAGGCAGCAGUGGGGAAUAUUGCACAAUGGGCGGAAGCCUGAUGCAGCAACGCCGCGUGCGGGAUGUCGGCCUUCGGGUUGUAACCCGCUUUCGCCUGUGACGAAGCGUGAGUGACGGUAAUGGGUAAAGAAGCACCGGCUAACUACGUG